rnacentral:sRNA from 1 species
GCACCUUGAAAAUGUCGGGCCAAAUCUGGCCG